rnacentral:rRNA from 1 species
UACCAGCACCCCGAGUGGUCGGGACGUUUAUUGGGCCUAAAGCAUCCGUAGCCGGUUCUACAAGUCUUCCGUUAAAUCCACCUGCUCAACAGAUGGGCUGCGGAAGAUACUAUGGAGCUAGGAGGCGGGAGAGGCAAGCGGUACUCGAUGGGUAGGGGUAAAAUCCGUUGAUCCAUUGAAGACCACCAGUGGCGAAGGCGGCUUCCUGGUCUGCGACUGACGCUGUGGCGCGAAAGCUAGGGGAGCAAACGGG